AACAUCGUUUAUCGUUUCAUCUAAUAAAAAAAAAUAUAUUUGCAAUAGAACCAAAGAUAUUGAGAGUGCAUAUUGUCGUAUGUUCAUAUUUACCGUAGUAAUAUAUCGUAUAGUGCAGUUAAUGUGCUGUACGCGGGAGGCGAGUGAUCGUUUAGCCGCGCGAAGGAAUGGUAAGUAGUAGUACCGAUUGUAUACGCUGGAGAGGAGCUCGAGCGCGGCCAAUAUCACAUUUUAAAAAAAUGUACUGAUUUAUAUUAUUUAAUGGACAGUAAGUAUAAGAUUAACUAUCAACUGUGUCAUCUAGGUCAAAACGAAUGAUUGAUACAGUAAUGAAACCGGUAAAACAAUGUGAUAAUUUGAUUGGCAAAAACCGGUAAACGCUAAUAAUUCAACUUAUAGUGAUGAUGUGUGUACAUCCAACCCUUUUGUGGAAAAUACUACGAGGGUACAAGAGUUACCACCCCUUUUUGACGCAGAUAUUGAUGAGAUAAACCAAUUGAUGGAUUUGUCCUAUUUUGGGUCCUAUGUGUCAUAUGUACCUACUGCAGACUAAAAUGUUCAACGAAAAUGAGUGAUGAUGACAGAAUAUUGAUUUUCAAUAGAUUUUAAGAUUUAGGAAACUGUGAAAAGCAGUUUAGCAGCAGCAGCUUUUAUUGAAAACUUGGUUGUCAAACAAAAAAACUAAGGAUUUUCACUGACAUGGAAUCUAGGCGUAGGUUUACUUUGAUUUAUAGAUUACCAAGGGCUGUUUUAGACGACCAGGAAAACUAUUUAACUGUGUACAAGAAGAUGUUUCUAAACACAUUUCCAUUAAGUAAACAAUUUGUCUAUAAGUCUUUAGAAAAAAAGGUAAGGUAAGUGGAUUGAUAGAAGCGGAUCUGCGAAGGCGUCGCAAAGUAAUAACUAGGGAUGUUAUCAGAAGUAUAUCCGAUCACAUAAAAUCUCUUCAGCCUGUAGAGUCUCAUUACUCUCGCCAAGGAAGUAGUAAAAUUUACCUAGACGGAGAUCUAAAUUUCCAUCGCUUGUUUGAGUUGUAUAAUGAGUGAUUUAAUACACUAACAUACUCUUCAAAAGCUAGUUCUGAACGGCAAUAUCCCGACAUCGUCAAUGCAUACUUUAAGUUUAGUUUUUAUAUGCCAAAGAAGUACCAAUGUGACAAGUGUCAUAUCUAUAAGAAUAUAUCUAGUCUGACACUAUCUGAAACACAAUUAUAUGAAGCACAUAUUAAAAAUAAAGAGAUAGCUCGCCAAAAAAACUCGACCGAUAAAGAACUGGCCAAAGUAUCAGAUGUUUUUAAUGUGGCUGAACAGGAAGGUACUUGUUUUAUGUGGCAUGAAGUCCAAGGGAAUCGCGAGGCAAACGAAGUGGCUUGUAUGAGUACAUCUCCAAACGUAAGGAUCAAGGUACAAGCAAGCUUCGGUUGUCGCUUUUAUUUUUAAAGUGACAAUACAUCAUUGUUUUUUAGAAGUUGGUCAUAACCAAAAUGAGGGCGAUAGCGUUCACACCUUAAUAGAAAAAUGUGCCAAGAAUAAACUUGCUUAUACACCAUUUGAGUGUUUUUGUUUAGUACGCUGAGCUAAGCAAAAAGGAAAGCCUUAUAUUGUAGAAGAAUUACAACACACCGAUUUUUUUAAUUGCAAAACAUUAUUAAAGGACAAUGGGGUUAAAAGUACUAAUGGAGAAAAAGUUCAAUGGAAUAAAAUAAGAGAGGUGUUUAAAACCUGAAGAUCCUUAUAAAUUAUUAUAUAAAUAUGAUUUAGCUGCCGAAGAUUACCAUACUUUAUGUAUAAAAGUGUCUACCAGGAGACAAUGUGUAAUCAAUAUUGAUGUACUGUAUGCCAAUAGGCUGCCGAUGAUACCUCAGGUGAAAAAAUAUGAUUUGAUGAGCAUGUGCAAAUCUCAAAUCAUACGCAGCGCUCAUUAUGAUUUUGUCCAAAGCCUAUCAGAUACUGGUAACGAUAGUUUUUCGGAUUUAGAUACAGACUAAUUUUGUAAUAAUUAAUGUUUUUUUUUUAAUAUUACAUAGUUUUCAUUAAUUUCUUUUUAUUUUUGUACUAAAAAUUUUAGAUUUUAGAGACUGCACAAUACUGAUUGAUUUUUUUACGAAUAUUCAAGUAAUGAAUAAAUAUUUUUUUCUUGU